UCUCUGUGAAAACCCUCUCUUUAAUGCUCAACUGGAAAAAACAGCAAUCCCUAGAAAACUCAAAUUGCCAUUUGUUGCAAUUCAACUUUAAAGAGCGGGUUUUCACAGGGG